rnacentral:rRNA from 1 species
CCUACGGGGGGCAGCAGUGGGGAAUAUUGCGCAAUGGGCGAAAGCCUGACGCAGCGACGCCGCGUGAGGGAUGAAGGUCUUCGGAUCGUAAACCUCUGUCAGCAGGGAAGAACGGUCACUGUGCUAAUCAGCAGUGAAUUGACGGUACCUGCAAAGGAAGCACCGGCUAACUCCGUGCCAGCAGCCGCGGUAAUACGGAGGGUGCGAGCGUUAAUCGGAAUUACUGGGCGUAAAGCGCUCGUAGGCGGUAUGUCAAGUCAAGGGUGAAAUCCCCGCGCUCAACGUGGGAACUGCCUUUGAAACGGGCAAACUGGAGUGUGUGAGAGGAUAGUGGAAUUCCAGGUGUAGGAGUGAAAGCCGUAGAUAUCUGGAGGAACAUCAGUGGCGAAGGCGACUAUCUGGCACAUAACUGACGCUGAGGAGCGAAAGCGUGGGUAGCAAACAGGAUUAGAUACCCCGGUAGUC